AGCAGCAAAGGUUCAACUCACUAUCCAAAUGAUGCAAUAAGAUUCGACGUUUUGACCCAUUCUCGGCCCUUCCCACUAAUUCCCAAAACGUUGAAUCUUAUUAUAUCGUUUAGCUAGUGGGUAGAACUUUUGCUACU